GAGCUUGGCCUGGGUCCCAUGAGUCUGUGCAGCUACAAACAAGCCUGGUGCUGCUGUGACACAGACGAGGCCGGAGGAACAGGAUCAAGGAUCUACAUUAUGGCGGCCCUCAUGAGGUAGCACGGCACUGAUUCCUGGGAGGGGCCAUCACCACCCAGUGAAGCCAGUACCUUCACCAUCCCCAUGCUUCCAAUGGGGAAACUGAAGCCAGAGAAGAUCUGAGGAUCAGCAGUUGCAAAACACCAAGUCCCACGUCUACACUGCUGGAGACACCGCCAUGUGUUAGCCGGUAACAUGGGAGUGUGCUUGCAUUUGCCAAGGCCCUGUGGUUAGCGUCCACACACGGUUAGAUGUUACACUCUCAGAGCGGGGUGUGUUCAUGGAGGAAAAGAGAAAAGUGGAGACUCAGAGACGCUCCUCCAGAAUGACGUGGUGGAGGGCAUCAGGCACCAGUGCAUGGGCUGGUGCCACCACAGCUAGGUGGAUCUUCCCACAUCGAUUAGCUUCAUCUAGAAACUUCCUCAUGAGCUCAGAGUCUCCUUACUUCCAUGACUCUAGAUCCCACCGAAGCAGCAGUCAGCAUCAACUGCCACACUCACAGAGACCCCAUCUCAAAAUAAAAAGAAGUAGGAAGUCAGUGGGGCUGGGAUUACAGGUCAGCAGUGGAGUGCUUGCGUAGCUCACGCAAGGUCCUGGGUCCGUCCUUUGCAUUCCGUUAGCUGUGCUUCCUGGCAACUCUCCACCGGCAUUGGAUGCUUUGGUCCUUUUUACAACUGAAUAAUACGCCAUUGCACAGAGAGAUGUGAGCAAGUUGUCCCACACUCCAUGGCCACUGUGAACUCCACCAUGACUCCCCUGGCAAGAAUGCAGCCACUCAAACCAUGGGCCAAUAUAAAGCCUUCCUCUACAUCACUCCUGUCAGGCGGUGUCUUGGUGACGACAGGAGAAGCAGCAUAAGGAUUACAAGCAUGUGUCAACAUGAUCAGCAUUUUCCGUGGGAUCAGAACUCAGGUCCUCAUGUUUGCACAGGCCUCUGCAUUGGCUUUGCUUAGCCUUUGUGCGACAACGACUCAUAGCUUUGCAUCUGUGUGUCUGUGAGUAGCCCCCCAUGCUUACCCUACACAACACUGCUGACCAUCAACCUGCAUGCCCCAAGGGGUCAGCCCUCUGGGCUGAUGGCACCAAGUUAGAGCCCUUGAUGCCAAAUGCAAGCUGUUUGCUCCAAGCUUGUAACAUAGCCAACCACAUGCACUUCUAUUUUAAAAUAGAAAAUCUUUGGCCCCGAGACCUUAACUUCAUCAUUGGAAAGCAGGGAGAGCCUCAUGCUUAAUUGCUAGAGAUGACACUGAGAGGGGAGAGGGAGAGGAAUGGGAGUGUCCCAGUCCCUGAUGUCACAGGCCUCACUGCUGAGCUCACAGAUGCUGUGGAGUGGAGGAGGCUGACAGAGACAGGGACGUGGCCAGUGUUCCUGGAAGCACUCAGCCUCCUGGUCACACAAUCCACUUUGAUUGGGGGCAACAAGAAGAUCUGAUACCUAGGAACCUGUGGACAAGAAGAAUUCUGGUGGAUCACUCACGUGAUUCCAGUUGGGAUCAUUUGGACAGAGAGAAACGAAGGUGCUGACUGCUUGGUGGACCUGGGGGCUGAGGAGUAACAGACAAAGGGUGGAGGGAAAACAUUUCCUAAUCUUUCUGUGAACUCUCCCUGAAGGUUGAUUGGCCAAGCAGGGCCAUGUGCUCACAGGCAGUCACAAGAGAGAUUGGAAAAGAGUCUGUCUGGAACAGAAAGGAAUAGGAACCUGCAGGGCUUCCAGAAUGCACGGUCACAUGCUCACUAAAGGAAGAAUUCUGCUUUGGUCCUGGGACUGCCAUCAAGCUGUUUCUUCACUUGUCCGUUGCUCGUCACAUGUGCCGUGGAGAAGGUGUCUGCUACAGUUCAGUAAUCCUCAGUAAGAACCAGAGGGAGUUCCUCCGCUGGAUCAGGAGGAGCUGCAGAGUUGCACAGGGGACACCUGACCCCUGUCUCACACUGCAGACAAGACUUCAUUUCAAACGCACUGGAAAUCUCAGUAUAAGAGCUAAUACAUGGAUCUUUUAGAAGAAACCUGCAGAAACACAAAUUCAUCUAGUUGCAUAGAUAAGUCAGGAUCUGCAGACAUUUAAAAGCUUUCUCUUUGGAGAUUAAAAAACAACAACAAACAAAUAAAGCAAACAAAGGACUGUAAGAAAUGGUCUCAAGAUGUUUAUCUGAAAAAUGUCUUGUAUCCAAAAUACAUCUAGAACUUUUACAACUCAUCAUUAAGUUAACGCCUCAAUUUUUUAAAUGGCUGAUACUUCUGCACAGACCCCACACAGAGGCAGGAAGAUCCAGCAGGCACAUAGUAGGACACUUGGCACCGCCAUCACCCCAGAAUGCAAAUGGAAGCUAUAGUGUGGUAGAAAUUCCCACCUUCCAGAGAGGUUAAAAUUAAAAGCACACAUUCACAAAAAGGCUGCAGACAAGUGCUCAGAGUCUCAGUCACAACAGCCAAAGGUGAAUACAGCCCCAAAGACUGUCACCAGGUCAGCAGGUAAAUCAGGUACGCCUAUGUGAUGGAGCAGUGAAAAGGAACACGGUUGUCAUUGCUUAGGUGAUCGAGGACAUUUAAGACAUAUUUGCAUGAAAAAUUCAAAUCCAAAGGAUCCAAGACCUGUGGUCACACUGCUCGGAACUCCAGAGCCAGCUGUGCCAGGCUGCAGUUGCAGAAAUUGGAUUGGAGGCUUGGAAAAGAUUGAGGGCUUGGCGGAGGGCAGCUUCUGUGCUAGUAUAAAUGAACAGAAUAGACAGGUUCUGGGUUUCCAUGGCACACAGCUGGCAAGGUUUAAAGUGGGAUCAUCUUACGUAAAUAAACUUUACUUCGAACUUCA